GCGGACAACUCGAUUUCUCUGCUCUCAGACUACCUUUUAUUUGUCAUAUGUCUCAAUAUCAACCGACCUAAAAUAAUAAUAAUGUAAGGAGAUAUUACAGUCUAUACAUUGCACUCGUUUAUAUCCCGCUUGUCAUCUUCUAAGGUCAACUCUUUUUAAAGCUGCAGCCUUCGUAGUAUUAAACGAUUACUCGGAACAUUGCUAAAACCAUAUAUGCAGUCGAUGGACGAUCAAAUUCCCGAUUCAUCUGACGAGUUCACCCAUAAUGUUAAUAACGAAAAUUAUACAAUACACAAUUGAACUUGGAAAUCACUAUUAAUUUACACAUCAAUCAUAAAUUCAAAACUUAAAUUAAGCCAAAGU